rnacentral:rRNA from 1 species
CGGUAUUAUGACCGUGCGAAGGUAGCAUAAUCAUUAGUCUUUUAAUUGAAGGCUGGUAUGAAUGGUUGGACGAGAAAUUAGCUGUCUUGAGUUUUGAAAAUUGAAUUUAACUUUUAAGUGAGAGGGCUUAAAUGAGCUAGGGGGACGAUAAGACCCUAUAAAGUUUAUACGCCGAACUAAUUAAGAGUGAUUUAGGUUUGUAAGGUUUAUUAUUGGAGAGGUGUUUAGUUGGGGCGACUAGGAUAUAAGUUAUUUAACUGUUUCUUUUUUGUAGUCAAAAAUAUUUGAGUUUAUGAUCCUUUUUUAGGAUUUUAGAAUAAAUUACUUUAGGGAUAACAGCGUAAUUUUUUUUGAGAGUUCUUAUCGAUAGAAGAGUUUGCGACCUCGAUGUUGAAUUAAAAUUUCUUUGUGAUGCAGCAGUUACAUGGGAGGG